CAAGUGCAUAACUCCAAAAUGGCAGAAGAAUUGAAGCUACUUGGCGCAUGGGCUAGUCCUUUUAGUCUCAGAAUAGAGCUAGCCCUGAAGCUAAAAGGCAUAAACAUAAAAUAUCAGUACAUAGAAGAAGAUCUCUCCAACAAGAGUCCUUUACUUCUCAAGUCCAAUCCAGUUCACAAGAAAAUUCCUGUGCUCAUACACAAUGGAAAACCAAUUGCAGAGUCACUUGUCAUUCUUGAAUACAUAGAUGAGACCUGGAAAAACAAUCCUCUCUUGCCUGAAAAUCCUUAUGAUCGAGCAAUUGCUCGUUUCUGGGCUAAAUUCAUCGAUGAAAAGAUCCUGCAAAUAGCUGUCAAGUUCAGGUUAGCCAAAGAGAAGGAGAAAGAGCAGAUCAUUCAAGAACUUGGUGAGCAGCUGCAGUUUCUUGAGAAGGAGUUAGAAGGAAAGGAAUUUUUUGGAGGUGAGAGCAUCGGAUACGUAGACGUUGUGGCAUAUUUUAUAGUCAAUUGGCUCCAAGUGCAACAAGAAGUUAGGCAGAUAGUAUUCAUCAGUGAAGAGAAAUUUCCAGUUUUAUGCAAGUGGAUGGGAAAGCUUCAUGAAAUAGAUGUGGUCAAUGGGUGCCUGCCUCCAAAAGAUAAACAUUAUGCUUAUAUGAGAGCUCAAAUUGAGGCUGCAAAAUCUGCUAUCAAAUAAUUAAUUAGUCUUUCAAUGCUUCAUAGUUUCUGAAUCUAUUUGCCUUCGUUCUUGUUUUAUUGCUCUG
rnacentral:misc_RNA from 1 species